UACGUAGGGGGCCAGCGUUGUCCGGAAUCAUUGGGCGUAAAGCGCGCGUAGGCGGCCAGAUAAGUCCGGUGUGAAAGUCAAAGGCUCAACCUUUGAAUGCCGCUGGAAACUGCCUGGCUUGAGUCCGGAAGGGGCGAGUGGAAUUCCUGGUGUAGCGGUGAAAUGCGCAGAUAUCAGGAGGAACACCAAUGGCGAAGGCAGCUCGCUGGGACGUUACUGACGCUGAGACGCGAAAGCGUGGGGAGCAAACAGG
rnacentral:rRNA from 1 species